GUGCCUGUAGCUCAGCUGGAUAGAGCAUCUGCCUUCUAAGCAGAGGGUCCGGGGUUCGAAUCCCUGCAGGCACGCCA
rnacentral:tRNA from 1 species